rnacentral:rRNA from 1 species
UACGUAGGGUGCGAGCGUUAAUCGGAAUUACUGGGCGUAAAGCGUGCGCAGGCGGAUGUUUAAGUCAGAUGUGAAAUCCCCGGGCUCAACCUGGGAACGGCAUUUGAAACUGGGCAUCUAGAGUGCGUCAGAGGGGGGUGGAAUUCCACGUGUAGCAGUGAAAUGCGUAGAGAUGUGGAGGAACACCGAUGGCGAAGGCAGCCCCCUGGGAUGACACUGACGCUCAUGCACGAAAGCGUGGGGAGCAAACAGGAUUAGAUACCCUGGUAGUCCACGCCCUAAACGAUGUCAACUAGUUGUUGGGGACGUAAGGUCUUAGUGACGAAGCUAACGCGUGAAGUUGACCGCCUGGGGAGUACGGCCGCAAGGUUG